GCCCUUAAUAAAGAUAAUAGCCAAAAAAGUUCGUUGCCGCGCGCAGGCGGGAACGAACGUGUUCGGACACGUUACGCGUGUGUCCUUUGGAUCAUAUUUUUGAGUUUUAUCUUCCCCUUCUAAAGAGGAAUCCUUUCUAAUUGUUCACUUAAUCCUUCUCAUCUGGCCGUGUGGUGGGUAAUUAAUUUGUGCCAAUCAAACAAAGAAGAAGAAGAUAAUAGCUAGGUUGUGAUAGCCGGUCGUAACGUUUUUAAAAUAUUUACUCUACUGGAGAAUAAAUUUGAAGAAGCCUGCAAUCUUCGGGUUGGAAAACAUUUAAAUCUUAAUUUUUCUUGCAAUGAUGUUGCCUGAAACCUCAAUGAUGAUCAUAUACUGGCGACAGCAGCAACAAAUGGUGCAGUGGUUGUUUGGAAUUUAAAUAAACAAU